UACAGAGGGUGCAAGCGUUAAUCGGAAUUACUGGGCGUAAAGGGUGUGUAGGUGGCAAGAUAAGUUAGGUGUGAAAUCCUCUGGCUCAACCAGAGAACUGCGCUUAAUACUGUCUAGCUAGAGUAUUGUAGAGGGCAGUGGAAUUUCCAGUGUAGCGGUGAAAUGCGUAGAUAUUGGAAGGAACACCAGUGGCGAAGGCGACUGCCUGGACAAAUACUGACACUGAUACACGAAAGCGUGGGUAG
rnacentral:rRNA from 1 species